ACACGACUACAUUAGAUACCCGUGUAGUCCCAGCCCUAAACGAUGCGCGUUAGGUGUAUCGGUGACCACGAGUCACCGAGGUGCCGAAGGGAAACUGUGAAACGUGCCGCCGUGGGAAGUACGGUCGCAAGGCUGAAACUUAAAGGAAUUGGCGGGGAGCACCACAACGGGUGGAGCCUGCGGUUUAAUUGGACUCAACGCCGGGAAGCUCACCGGAUAAGACAGCGGAAUGAUUGCCGGGCUGAAGACCCUGCAUGACCAGCUG
rnacentral:rRNA from 1 species